AAAAACAAUGGUGUGUUGUUUGAAAACCAGCUGCUUCAAAUUGGACUUAAGUCUGAAUUUCGGCAGAAUUUAGGUCGGAUGUUUAUCUUUUAUGGUAAUAAGACCUCCACGCAGUUCCUAAACUUUACCCCAACACUAAUCUGUUCAGACGACCUUCAGCCUAAUAUCCUUGGCUUCAUUGCCCCAUGCCCGCAGACAGCAUAAUGUGGGGCUUAGAGGAGGCUUUUGAGGAAGUUUUUUGGUUUUCUUAUUUUGUUAAAAUAGCGAGAUAAUUCCAGAUGCUAUAUGAAAAUCAGGCAGUCGUAAUCUGCCUAUGGUGCUGGGCAGGAGAAGGAAAACAGGCAGUCUUCCAUAUUGGAGAGCCAGCUUUUGAUCAUGCACCUAAAAAUACCGUGUACAUGCCUCCUCCCCUUCCAUCUGGCCAGUGUGAGUCCCUUUCCUUUUCACCUGCUCUUACUCUCCUGUGACGUGAUCUUUAAACCCCUCCUCUCCGAAGCCUCACAGAGCUGCUGCUUGCAGAGUGUGGGAGGCGCCAGUGGGGACUGGAGCGCGGUGCGCACCCCAGCCGAGCUUGUGUGUGCUUCUGGCAGAGCUUUUAGACUGAAGAUUUUCCCUUCGUAAUGCCAGAAGCGUUCCUAGAACUUCCCCAGCUAAAACAGGGAGACGCUAACGUCUCUACCUCUAAGGAUAGGCCCGCCAAAUAGAGUUAGCGUGAAGACCCCAGCUUGACCAGAGAUGGUGACACCUGGGGAUUUAUGGUCAGCGACCUGAGUGAAGCAACAUCCUCCUUGCCACUGGCUGGUCUGUUCAUUUUAACAUGAACAUGUUUUAAUGCAGACUGUUCAAGCUGUUUCAAAACAGUCAUUAAAAAUACACAUGCAGGAGCACCUGUAUUAAAGACUUUGUUUGGAAUCUGGAGUGGAAGCUCUGACUCCUACUGCGCCCUUCUUUAGGGGUCUCUCCCUCGGGGUCCACUUGGCUCGAGGCGGCAGCGAGCCCAGCAGCUGAGUGGCCGGCGGCACACGACCCAGAGGGAAGGAGAGGCCUGCACCCCGCUGCCUCCUGGACCCAGCUUUGCUGCUGUCACUGUUUCUUCAGGAGAGGCUGUAGGCAAACCCUUGUUUUCCAGCAUGAAAACAACCCUGGUCCCAGCAGGGCAGGCUCUUUUCUGUGUCUCGCUGUUUCAGGAGCCUGCUAUUCCUGGGAUUCUUAAAGUUUUCCUGCCCUACUAAGCACCAGUUUCUGCUAACGGUGACAAAAAUUGUGUGUGUAAGACCCAGAGCCGAGGCUCAGAGUGAAAACAGACAAGUAGUAUAUAAUCUAAGUGACUUUUUAAAAUGGAGGAGCCAUUCUGGAAGCGUGAGAAGCAGACAGUGUUUUGAGGAUUGUCUGGGUGGAAGGGCAGGGCCGGGUGGUGUGGCUGCCCUCGACCCGUAGCUGGUGGUCCUAGAGUGUGGUGAGUGUGCUCGCCUCCACGGGUCCUGCUGGGGCUCUAGCCCGGCCCGUUUCCGCUUCUGCCACUGGGACUUGCUCAGCUGGAUUCCUUAACGCACGCACACCUGAACCUGCAGACCAAGCCCGUGGACCCGACCGUGGAGGGGGGCGCGCAGGUGCAGCAGGUGGUCAACAUAGAGUGCGUGUCCGACUUCACGGAGGCGCCAGUCCUCAACAUUCAGUUCAGGUAUGGGGGCACCUUCCAGAACGUGUCUGUGCAGCUGCCCAUCACUCUCAACAAAUUCUUCCAGCCGACAGAAAUGGCUUCUCAGGAUUUCUUUCAACGUUGGAAGCAGUUGAGCAAUCCACAGCAGGAAGUGCAGAACAUCUUCAAAGCAAAGCACCCAAUGGACACAGAAGUCACCAAAGCCAAGAUCAUUGGAUUUGGUUCUGCACUUCUUGAAGAAGUUGAUCCUAAUCCUGCGAAUUUCGUGGGAGCUGGAAUCAUCCACACGAAAACCACCCAGAUUGGAUGCCUGCUGCGCUUGGAGCCGAACCUGCAAGCCCAGGUCAGGCCCUCAGGAAAUGGUGGAACACACUUGAGUUGCUUUUUAUUCUGGCACAAUGUACGUGGUGAGAUGUGUAGCUCUUUAGUGCAGUUCAGUCAGUUUUGACAGAUGUUGUUUAACCACCACCCUGUCAAUACAUGGUUGCCUCCCAGCCUCCCCGCAGCUGGCCACCGUGGAGCAUCAUCCCUAGUGCAGUUCAGUCAGUUGUGACAGAUGUUGUGUGCCUGUUUAACCACCACCCUGUCAAUACAUGGUUGCAUCCCAGCCUCCCCACAGCUGGCCACCGUGGAGCAUCGUCCCACCAUGGAGCAGCCUGGCCCUGGGCGGUGGCUCUCCCAGCUGUUCCUCUCUGUCACCGCGUUGUUCCUUCUCACCACGUCCCGUUCUGGCGACGGACACCUGUCUCCGUUUCACUUGGGU
rnacentral:lncRNA from 1 species